rnacentral:lncRNA from 1 species
CCACGUUCGCCAAUGACGCCCCAGAUGCAGGGAGCGGCAUCGCUGCAUCCGUUCUUUCCAUUCUCCAUCGCUGCCACGACCAGUGAGAUCCGCACGAGGAGGGAGAUGCAUCAGGGAGGUUUCACGCUGCUCACCGACGAAGCCCUCCGACGAGCGGCCAGACCCAGGCGAGGUGGAUUUCGUCGGUGAGGCCCUGUUCCCUUCCUCCUCUUCUGCGCGAUGGCGAGGUGGAUUUCGUCAGUGAGGUCCUGUUCCCUUCCUCCUCUUCUGCGCGAUCUGGCCCAGUGGUACGGAACCUUCCUGAUUUGGCUUUCUUUUUGCACUCCACUAUUCUCCGGCAUGUCGUCGUUCGUCCUUUGGUUCCGUGACCUCUGCACCGAGGGGAGACUCUGGUCUUCCUACCUAUAAACGUUUUGGUUCUUCUUAAUGAAGACACGACGACGAACUCCACCACGAUGAACUGCUCACUUUUAGCUGAAAUUCACCUUCCAUCUCUAUGUAAUUCCUUUUAUACUCUGACUGCACAACAGCUCUAGGUUCGAAUUUACUCUCUCCCGUAGGGUCGCCGGGAUCCUGACGUUGCAAAUUGCAUUGCCUGACUGCCUUCUUGCUUAGAUCUCUUCCUACAGAUGCCUGAUUCUUUUUGUUUAAUGUGUUAUGUGCAGGGUUAUUGCCAGGAGUGGUCUUUUGGGUUUUGCGAGAACGGCGUGUCCAGGACUCCAGGUUAAAACCAGCCGCCCUCCGAGCAAGAGCACCAUGUACCUCUACUACGAGGGCAUGCCAGGUUUUCCACAAGCUUAGCCGCGAGUCAUACGACUUCCUCCGCAGGAACUGUAACCACUUGUACUACGCUCUGCCAUAAUCUCCGCAUCCCCAAGCUUCCAAGUAAGGGUAGGAGAUUUAGCCUUUGUUCUUCUGAUUAGCCACUGAACUAAGGUCUUCUUUAUAAAAAUUAGUCACUGGACUGUAUUUGUAGGCACUGUAUGGUGGCGUUUGACACAUCUUAAUAUCAUGAUUUACUAUAGAAAUGGCCACAUAUCUGUAGUAUUUUUUUGUUCCCAAAACCAGAAUUGGUCCAACUGUAAUUUUCUUGUUACUUCUCAGAAUUGAAGCUUGGUACCGAUACUAGCUGCAUACCAGUACCAGAAAAAAAAAAAUCUGAUUUGGCCACACUCCAUCCACUGGCUACAUACUCGAAGUGGUUGUCUGGAUAAAUAAAAUUAGUGCCCAGUUUUUCAAAGAACGUAUUUUCAUUUGAUAUUUUUUGGAAAAUCCAAUUUUACUUAUAAUUCACGUAAUAAGUACGCGCAGAGUCUGUUUGGACUAGAAAAUUGUAGUAUCCAUUGAAAUUCGCCAGAUAGACAUACAUACUUGUUUCCACUUGAAUCCAAGCAAACUAUCAUGUAAAUUAGAUAAAUUGUACAAUGUUUUGACUGAACCAUGAAUUUUUGUGAUGGCUUACCUACUUUAAAAAUUAUAAUUUAUGGUCUUGACAAUUGAGGUGAACAUGGUCAAGUGCUGAGCAGUUUGGGGUCAGAGAUUUCCAAUUGAGAUUUCCUUUCACCAAAAAGAAAACUUUGUACCAAUUAUUCUUGUCUGUUUUCCACUCUGAUGCUUUAGAUGUUUAAUGGUUUCAUAGUCUUUUUGUCUAUACAGUCAGUGUAUUUGCUAAUUGUCAAGUUUGUACAGGUUAUGAUCAUUACCCUUCAACCGGGUUAUUUGAAAGAACGUUUAAUCCCUUGCUGAGCAUAAUUUGUGUAGGCAAAAGUAGCAAUCUCAUUUGAUUGUUCUAUUGUCAGAAUGACAGAUGGUACAUGGAAGUAGUAGUGCAUGUCAAUUCAGUUGGUAAUAUUGUUGUACUCUAAAGGAAUUACCUUAUUUUGUUUCAUUCUAUUCAUGUAGGUGCUGUGUGUUUUGCACAAGAUAAUUACCGUGUAGCAGGUCAUGUGCAGUUUUAAAUUUAUUUAGCACAAGUGUGCAUGCACACACACACACA